GAUGAACGCUGGCGGCGUGCCUAAUACAUGCAAGUCGAGCGAACGGACGAGAAGCUUGCUUCUCUGAUGUUAGCGGCGGACGGGUGAGUAACACGUGGAUAACCUACCUAUAAGACUGGGAUAACUUCGGGAAACCGGAGCUAAUACCGGAUGCUAUUUUGAACCGCAUGGUUCAAAAGUGAAAGACGGUCUUGCUGUCACUUAUAGAUGGAUCCGCGCUGCAUUAGCUAGUUGGUAAGGUAACGGCUUACCAAGGCAACGAUGCAUAGCCGACCUGAGAGGGUGAUCGGCCACACUGGAACUGAGACACGGUCCAGACUCCUACGGGAGGCAGCAGUAGGGAAUCUUCCGCAAUGGGCGAAAGCCUGACGGAGCAACGCCGCGUGAGUGAUGAAGGUCUUCGGAUCGUAAAACUCUGUUAUUAGGGAAGAACAUAUGUGUAAGUAACUGUGCACAUCUUGACGGUACCUAAUCAGAAAGCCACGGCUAACUACGUG
rnacentral:rRNA from 1 species